GCUCUAGGUAGCUUUUUGCCUCUGGACUGUGAACUUCACUUGUUCCCAGUCCCCACCUCCUGUAGGUGGGACAGCAUGGUUACAGUAGGCUGGAGUUGUGUAUUUCCCUGCCUUCCUCUGAAAGGCUAGAGCCAAGUGGAGUUGAAUGUUUCUUUUCCCCCAGGUCAAUUAGGCUCUAAUAAACCCCAACAGGUUAGGCUCUGGUUAACUAGUUUCACCUAGGGCAGAACUUUUUCAGAAAACAGAAUGCUCUGGGGUCUUUCAAAAUGGUUCCCUUUCCCCAAACCCCGUUGGAAGAACAAAGGAAUUUUUCUCCAAUAUUCGCUGUGAAAACCUCAUGAAUUCUUAGAUGUAAAACUCUCAGAAGUGUGAGUAGACCCCUCUGAAGUUUAUAUCUUUUUGGACUUGCCCACACUAAGCCUCCAGUAAUUCAUCAAUUACAAUUGAAGUUUACCUACCCUGGCAUCCAUUCUUGUGGAGGUUUUCAGCUCAGUUUCUGCUCUGAGACCCUAACACCUCAGUUUGGACCAAGACUCUCAAGAGAGAGCCUGAAGCCUUUCUUAGAACCCUAACAAAAUGGAACCCUUUUCCCAUGGAAUAUCCCUUUGGAUCAGGAUGAGAAGGCAACAGGACUGAAUGCCACUGAAGACUCCAGGAUAGAGGCCACCCUUUAUGAGUAGAGGCUCCACAGACCAUGCAGUGUCCAAAAAUAUAGGACAAUGAAGAGGAUGCAAAUGGAAACUGCUACAGAAGAAGUACUUUCAAUUUUAGAAAAUUUAAAUAGAACGACUUAAAAAUUCACUCCUUUGAAAAUAAAAGGAUAGAAAUUAAGCUCAAUAAAAUCAUGGUGGAUGAAGA